rnacentral:tRNA from 1 species
ACAGGAAGUAGCUAGGAUAGUAAAAGAUCUUAGUGAAACAGCGCCCAGCCCCUUAAACGACACUUGAGGGUGAUGAUAUAGUCCAUCAACGUCAAAAUCCGCCGCCUUAACGGGUGUGCCGGUUCAAGUCCGGCCUCCGGUACCA